GAUGAGACGGUGAAGAACCCCAAGGUAAAGUGAAUUGCGGAUUAUGCAUGUUAUGUUCAUAUUGGAAGUUGCAUUUAGCUGCAUAACAUUGUUUGCUGCAUCAAAAUGAUAUUCAGGCUACCGGGUAUGAUAAAUGCUUUUAUCUGAAAAAGUAAAAAUGUUAAUAUUUUCUGUAAUGUGAAUGCAGCUCUUGUAGUCCUCUAUCAGUUUAGUAGUUACUUGGUUUCUCAGUGGUGCCACUGGGAUAGAGAAUAAACAUAUUGAGAAUAGAUAAUGAAUCAAAUACAGAUUAAAAUAAUUGAAUGGUUAUGUAACUAAAUUGCACAUUACAUGGAAAAGUUUCAUAACAACAAAUUUUUCUGUCAUUCCACUGAAUGAUAUGAUAUCAGCAUAAGGGAGUGCUUAAGUGAAUGUUUUGAUAACCUAUUCAAUUGAUAACGAUUUUUAACCAAUGGUUUAGAGUAUUUGAUGCUCUUAUAAUUGAUGUACUUUAGAAAUUGUCAAGGAUAUUAAAAAAAUGGCGUUAUCUAUAGGUGCAUUACCUUUAUGUUGAUUUCUUUGAUCAAGCAUAUCUUGUUUGUCUAUUUGAAUGUAUGAAAGCAAAAACAGGUUUCAAACCUGACAUGUUAGGUAAACUUAAAAAGGCCAAGUGAAACUCUCUAGUAGGUUAGACCCUAGAUAUUCGCAAGCAGCAUAAUUUAACUUAUUAUUCAUUAUAAUUUUAAUUUAGUUCUAUUAUAAAUACUGGUGUAUUGUUCAAAUAAGGUUGAAUGUGGCUGUAUCUUGUUCAAUCUUGCUCCUAGCCUCCUAGUAUUAGUUGCUCAAAAUGCAGUGGUAUUAUCAUACUUAUGCAUUUAACUUAUUAGUCAUUAUAAUGGUGAAAUAUGCUGCAAAAUAAUACAUAUUCGAUUAACUUAGCCAUCUUGUAAUUAAGAAGUGUCCUAAAUAUUUUCCUAUUAGUUGAUUUUUUUAUUGGAUUAGAAUAUAUAUCAAAGCCUACUGAAGCUUAGAUGUCAUGUGCUUGAAUUAAAAUUUCAACUUUCUGAUGGUUUCCGUUUUUUAAAUCUAUAGUCUGAAAGUGCUCAGGGAGAAG
rnacentral:misc_RNA from 1 species